UACUUGAAGCGUCCAAAGCACUAACUAGCAUACAAAAUAUUCUUUUUCUAUUAUAUAUAAAUGCAUCUCACACUUCCUUUCUCUAUGUGCAUAUUAGUUAUCUAUAUUUCUUACUUAGAAAUUAACGACAAAAACAAAGAAAAACAAGACCAAGUUGAGUUAUUAUCAUAGGAUGAAGACAAGAUGGUCGUUUAAGAAGAUGAGGAAAGAGCAGUUGCGACCAUGGAAAUUCUCUAAUGUGUUUCAAUGGAAACGACUUCAUCUACGAACGGCAAUCGUGGACACAGUUGUUUACAAGAUAAUUUAUGUUGUAGAAGAGUGAUAUUUGGUUUGUUGCGGCCUUGCGGUUGUCGAUAGUCUUCAGGGUGAUUCACUAGGCUGAAUUAAUUGCUUUCACAUCAAAUCUUCAAGUUGCUUUUUUAGUUCACUCAAUUUCAAGACAAAAUCAUGUAAGGAUGUAAGAAGUUAUUCAAAUGUCUCUCAUUCUUCUAACAAUGGAGAAUUCAAUCUCUCUUUUUCAAUAAUAAACUAUUAAUAUUUAAGAAAAUGUUUACAUGGGUUGAUGUUAAGGUACGAUCAAACUAUGAAGACAAACAGCAGGAGAAAAGAGUAGUUAUAAACACUUUGACGCUCAAAUUAAAGAUGACACAGUAUGUGUGAUAUUUUGGUUAGAAUUAUUUGUACUUGAGAUAACUUAUGUCCUCUAGGUUUUUCAGCAGCCCCUUAGAGUUUGAAAACUCUAGAAUCUUCUUUAAAGCUAGGUUUUUCAGCAGCCCCUUAGAUAACUUAAUGCCUUGUGGAAAAAAUACUCCUUUUAGGCCGCGUUCUCUAGUCUUGGACUUGGGUUUCCUGAACCUAAGGGAAUUGGACAUCAUUCUGGACCAAAAAAGUAGUCCAUAAGCACAGACCGUCAAAGUUAGCUUGUGAUUGUUUAUGCUGAAAAAUGGUAAACAACCGAUGUUCUUCGACUACAGGUUACUUGCAGGAUCAACACAUGAUUCCUAGAACACAGUGCUAAAUAACCGUUUAGCUUUUUGUUUCUCUUGUUUUCAUGUGUUCGCUUUCGACUUA